rnacentral:rRNA from 1 species
AAUACCCAAUCCUGACACAGGGAGGUAGUGACAAGAAAUAACAAUACAGGGCGAAUGUCUUGUAAUUGGAAUGAUGGUGACCCAAACCCUCACCAGAGUAGCAAUUGGAGGGCAAGUCUGGUGCCAGCAGCCGCGGUAAUUCCAGCUCCAAUAGCGUAUAUUAAACUUGUUGCAGUUAAAAAGCUCGUAGUUGUAUUUUUGCGUUAGCGGUUUGACCAUUUGGUUGGUUAUUUCGUUUUCGCUUUUGGGAAUUUCCCUUUUUACUUUGAGAAAAUUAGAGUGUUUCAAGCAGACUUUUGUCUUGAAUACUUCAGCAUGGAAUAAUAGAGUAGGACUUUGGUUCUAUUUUGUUGGUUAUUGAACCUUAGUAAUGGUUAAUAGGAACGGUUGGGGGCAUUCGUAUUUAA